CAGGGAGCAGAUUUGACAAAUACUAAAAAUUAUAGACCAAUUUCAUUAUUAAAUUCGGAUUACAAAAUCUUUACAGGCAUAUUAGCAAAUAGAUUAACAAAAUAUUGAAUAGAAUAAUUAAUGAUGACUAGGCUGGCUUCCUGGCGGGAAGAGAACUAUACAGUGGUACCUCGGGUUACAUACACUUCAGGUUACAUACACUUCAGGUUACAUACGCUUCAUGUUACAGACUCCACUAACCCAGAAAUAGUGCUUCAGGUUAAGAACUUUGCUUCAGGAUGAGAACAGAAAUCGUGCUCCGGCGGCGCAGCAGCAGCAGGAGGCCCCAUUAGCUAAAGUGGUGCUUCAGGUUAAGAACAGUUUCAGGUUAAGAACGGAC
rnacentral:lncRNA from 1 species